rnacentral:piRNA from 1 species
UCGAUAUUGAGUAAAUUGUGCGCGCGC